rnacentral:rRNA from 1 species
GGACUACAGGGGUAUCUAAUCCCAUUCGCGACCCACGCUUUCGUGUUUCAGCGUCAGAAACGGACCAGUCUCCUGCCUUCGCUUUCGGUGUUCCCCAUGAUAUCAACGCAUUUCACCGCUACACCAUGAGUUCCAGAGACCCCUUCCGCUCUCAAGCACUGCCGUUUCCCGCGCGCGCCCUCGGUUGAGCCGAGGAAUUUUACGCGAGACUAACAGCGCCGCCUACACACCCUUUACGCCCAAUGAUUCCGGAUAACGCUCGAGGCACUCGUAUUACCGCGGCGGCUGGCAC